UGUCUGUCUCCUUUAUUGGCUCCAAGAAGAUAAGAACUGCUAGUUUGUUACUUUUUGUUUGUUUUAUACAAAUGCCAAACCCUUGGGGAUGUCAAAUGUCAAUAUUGCAAGAAUGAAUGACUGGGAAAGAAUAGAACAGAAACUUUAUUCUAACGUUUCCUUGAAUACCUGAGUAACUGGUUACAAUGAGGCUGGCAAGAUGGCUCAGCAAGAUGGGUAAGAGAACACUGACUACUCUUCCGAAGAUCCUGAGUUCAAAUCCCAGCAACCACACGGUGGCUCACAACCACCUGUAAUGAGGUCUGACACCCUCUUCUGGUGUGUCAGAAGACAGCUACAGUGUACUUAUAUAUAAUAAUAAAUAAAUCUUUGGGCCAGAGUGAGCAGGGACUGAGGGAGCAGGGCUGAUCAGAGCAAGCAGGGUUGACAGGAGCAAGUAGAGGUCCUAAAAUUCAAUUCUCAACAACCACAUGAAGGCUUACAACCAUCUGUACAGCUACAGUGUACUCACAUACAUAAAAUAAAUAAAUCUUUAAAAAAAAAAGAAGAGACUUUGAGGAAGGGUUACAAUAAGUAGGUGGUCAUCUGUGCUUUGUACUGACAACCUUUUGCUUAGGGCAAGGCUGUUCUAGAACUGAAGCCCUACAGGAACAACUGAACCCAAAGCAAAUUCAGCCGGGGAGAAACUUCUUUCAUUCUCUCUCUCUUUCUCUCUCUCUCUCUCUCUCUCUCUCUCUCUCUCUCUCUCUCUCUCUCUCUCUCUCUCUCUCUCUCUCUCUCCCUUCUUUCCUACUUUUCUUGAAAUGAAAAUUGACAUAAUCUACCACUACACAGGAAACUUCCAAUCAGCACUUAGUGGUGGUUAUUUUGAGAUGUAAAAGGACAGACAGAGGGGUGAGAUGGUGAGAUGGCUCAGUGGGUAAGAGCACCAGACUGCUCUUCC
rnacentral:lncRNA from 1 species